rnacentral:rRNA from 1 species
GACGAACGCUGGCGGCGUGCUUAACACAUGCAAGUCGAACGGAAAGGCCCUGCUUUUGUGGGGUGCUCGAGUGGCGAACGGGUGAGUAACACGUGAGUAACCUGCCCUUGACUUUGGGAUAACUUCAGGAAACUGGGGCUAAUACCGGAUAGGAGCUCCUGCUGCAUGGUGGGGGUUGGAAAGUUUCGGCGGUUGGGGAUGGACUCGCGGCUUAUCAGCUUGUUGGUGGGGUAGUGGCUUACCAAGGCUUUGACGGGUAGCCGGCCUGAGAGGGUGACCGGCGACAUGAGGACUGAGAUAGGGCCCAGACUCGUACGGGAGGCAGCAGUGGGGAGUAUGGCACAAUGGGCGGGAGCCUGAUGCAGCAACGCCGCGGGCGGGAUGACGGCCUGCGGGUUGUAAACCGCUUUCGCCUGUGACGAAGCGUGAGUGACGGUAAUGGGUAAAGAAGCACCGGCUAACUACGUG